UAUGGGUCUGGGUACCCGUCCGGCCCGCCGAGGCCCGCAAUUUUCGUAUCGGGCUUAGACAACAAUUUUUGUGUACGAGUCCGGCCCGGCCCGAACCUACAAAAAGCCCAUACUCCUUUGGCCGGGCUUGGGAUUUAUAUAAAAACUCAAGCCCGGCUCGGCCCGAUGUCUAGUUUAAUUGGAAAAAAAGAAAUGUCACUUGUGACUUUUAACUUAUAAUUAAGUGCUAUAUACCAUUUAGCUACUUAUUAUUAUUGUUUAUAAUUUUAUUGUUAUUAAUAUAUAUUAAACAAAACAAAACCCUAAAUCUAAAUGUAAUUGCAAUUGGACAGAUUUAAUAAUUGGUCAGGCCGGGCUAGAUUUUAAAAAAAAAAAUUGGACUCGAAUUUGAGCUCAGAAAUAUUAAAAAAUUUCCAAACUUGGGUGGGCUCGAGCUUAUCCAAAGUCAAGUCAGGCCCGGCCCAUAAACAGAUCUAGCUGUUUUAUAUGUCUUUCCAAUCAUUCUAAGGCAUAUGAAAAGUAAAAAGAUUAAUUUCCCUUCUUUUUGUUUUGGCUUAUUCUCUUGUGUGAAAAAGAAAGAAAGAAAAGAAAUAGCAUACCUAAUGGAAUGAUAGAGAUAGUCAAAGGAAGUGUGAGCAUAGCUUUCCUCCCAUACUGAUCCGACAGAUUCCCAAUUAGAGGUGUAAUCACAACCGAUCCCACUCCUAUCAUCUGCAAUCAAAUAUAAUUCUCUUCAUACUAAUAAUCAACUAACUAAUGUUGAUAAUUAAUUAAAUAAGCUAUUACUUUUUCUUUUAAAAAAAAGUUUAUUCAUAACAUAUAAUUUAAUAUUUAAUUAUACUUAGUUAAGCCUUAUCCAUCUAAAAUUUAAAAUUUAAAAGAAAAAUGUGUGUUCUACGAUCAUUAUUAAUUAAUUUAAUUAUAAAUUAAAUUGAAAGAUAUAAUUU
rnacentral:lncRNA from 1 species